UUAAAUUGAAGAGUUUGAUCAUGGCUCAGAUUGAACGCUGGCGGCAGGCCUAACACAUGCAAGUCGAACGGUAACAGGAAGCAGCUUGCUGCUUUGCUGACGAGUGGCGGACGGGUGAGUAAUGUCUGGGAAACUGCCUGAUGGAGGGGGAUAACUACUGGAAACGGUAGCUAAUACCGCAUAACGUCGCAAGACCAAAGAGGGGGACCUUCGGGCCUCUUGCCAUCGGAUGUGCCCAGAUGGGAUUAGCUAGUAGGUGGGGUAACGGCUCACCUAGGCGACGAUCCCUAGCUGGUCUGAGAGGAUGACCAGCCACACUGGAACUGAGACACGGUCCAGACUCCUACGGGAGGCAGCAGUGGGGAAUAUUGCACAAUGGGCGCAAGCCUGAUGCAGCCAUGCCGCGUGUAUGAAGAAGGCCUUCGGGUUGUAAAGUACUUUCAGCGGGGAGGAAGGGAGUAAAGUUAAUACCUUUGCUCAUUGACGUUACCCGCAGAAGAAGCACCGGCUAACUCCGUGCCAGCAGCCGCGGUAAUACGGAGGGUGCAAGCGUUAAUCGGAAUUACUGGGCGUAAAGCGCACGCAGGCGGUUUGUUAAGUCAGAUGUGAAAUCCCCGGGCUCAACCUGGGAACUGCAUCUGAUACUGGCAAGCUUGAGUCUCGUAGAGGGGGGUAGAAUUCCAGGUGUAGCGGUGAAAUGCGUAGAGAUCUGGAGGAAUACCGGUGGCGAAGGCGGCCCCCUGGACGAAGACUGACGCUCAGGUGCGAAAGCGUGGGGAGCAAACAGGAUUAGAUACCCUGGUAGUCCACGCCGUAAACGAUGUCGACUUGGAGGUUGUGCCCUUGAGGCGUGGCUUCCGGAGCUAACGUGUUAAGUCGACCGCCUGGGGAGUACGGCCGCAAGGUUAAAACUCAAAUGAAUUGACGGGGGCCCGCACAAGCGGUGGAGCAUGUGGUUUAAUUCGAUGCAACGCGAAGAACCUUACCUGGUCUUGACAUCCACGGAAGUUUUCAGAGAUGAGAAUGUGCCUUCGGGAACCGUGAGACAGGUGCUGCAUGGCUGUCGUCAGCUCGUGUUGUGAAAUGUUGGGUUAAGUCCCGCAACGAGCGCAACCCUUAUCCUUUGUUGCCAGCGGUCCGGCCGGGAACUCAAAGGAGACUGCCAGUGAUAAACUGGAGGAAGGUGGGGAUGACGUCAAGUCAUCAUGGCCCUUACGACCAGGGCUACACACGUGCUACAAUGGCGCAUACAAAGAGAAGCGACCUCGCGAGAGCAAGCGGACCUCAUAAAGUGCGUCGUAGUCCGGAUUGGAGUCUGCAACUCGACUCCAUGAAGUCGGAAUCGCUAGUAAUCGUGGAUCAGAAUGCCACGGUGAAUACGUUCCCGGGCCUUGUACACACCGCCCGUCACACCAUGGGAGUGGGUUGCAAAAGAAGUAGGUAGCUUAACCUUCGGGAGGGCGCUUACCACUUUGUGAUUCAUGACUGGGGUGAAGUCGUAACAAGGUAACCGUAGGGGAACCUGCGGUUGGAUCACCUCCUUACCUUAAAGAAGC
rnacentral:rRNA from 1 species